rnacentral:lncRNA from 1 species
AAAAGAAACCCAUUCAUGCGCUGUCAUCAUGCCUCCUUGAAGCCACCGUGGUUUCCACCAUAGACGGUGGUCAGGGCCACGUGAAAUCGGGUUAGUCUCUUCUUCUUCCUUAAUUCUUUUUUUAAAGUAAGUUAAUGAGAAAAAAUUAAAAUAAGGCAAAGAUAAAUAGAAAGAUUGAGAUAAUAGAGGAAAAAAAAAUGAAAUUAACCUCCUAAAUUUUCUUUUUCUUUUUUGUUUUUGAUACAAUUUUUUUUUUUGUAUUUCAAAAGAACCCCCUUUUGAUUUUUUUCUCAACCAAACUCAAAGACCAAGCCUUAGCCGUCACUUUUGGGCUGCUCACGGGUAUCAUCGGCGUUCACGCCUCCACCUCUGCCGUGGUUCACAACCUAAGUUGCGUAAAAACAAGAGGAGACCCCUUUUACCCCCUUUUGGUCCGAUAUCCAAGCCGGAGGAUGGCCUCCGACGAUCGAAACCGUAGGUAAGUGUCUUUGGAAUCUCUUCUUUAUUUGUUUUUAUGAUAAAGUACCUUCAAAGCAAGAAAAAAAGAAAAAAGAAACAUAUGAAUCGUAAAUCACCUCCAAUCUUUGAGUGUUUUCUCUAUUUUCUUUGUAUUCGGAAAGUUACAAAUUUUUACUUGAAUCCCUCUAUCGUUUUUUUUUUGUAUUUUUUGAUUGAUAUCCCCCCUACAUUACCUUGAGAUUGUAGGUUUUUCUCCCCUUUUACAACUUGUUCUUUUUUAUUUAUUUUCCUUUUCCAUUGCAGGUAAGUGGAACAAAAUGGGG